UUGGAGGGCAAGUCUGGUGCCAGCAGCCGCGGUAAUUCCAGCUCCAAUAGCGUAUAUUAAAGUUGUUGCAGUUAAAAAGCUCGUAGUUGAAUUUCGGGAUCAGUACGUUGGUCGUGCUUUCGGGUAUGUACUGGUGUUACUGAUUCCUCCCUUCUGACGAACUAUCGUGCCAUUUACUUGGUGUGGUGGGAAAUCGGGACUGUUACUUUGAAAAAAUUAGAGCGUUUAAAGCAGGCUCACGCUUGAAUACAUUAGCAUGGAAUAAUGAAAUAGGACGUUGAUCUUAUUUUGUUGGUUUCUAGGAUUGACGUAAUGAUUAAUAGGGAUAGUUGGGGGCAUUAGUAUUCAAUUGUCAGAGGUGAAAUUCUUGGAUUUAUUGAAGACUAACUACUGCGAAAGCAUUUGCCAAGGAUGUUUUCAUUAAUCAAGAACGAAAGUUAGGGGAUCGAAGACGAUCAGAUACCGUCGUAGUCUUAACCAUAAACUAUGCCGACUAGGGAUCGGAUGAUGUUAAUUUUUUAAUGACUCAUUCGGCGCCUUACGGGAAAC
rnacentral:rRNA from 1 species